CCGCAGAAGAUGGCUCUGUCCUCCGUGCUUGUACAAAGGACAGACAUGGUCAACUCCUGACUGUGCAGUGAGCAGGAGAGGCUCUUGCUUCUAAGUCACAUGAGGAGACGGUUUCCUACCCAAGCCCAGAGCCAAAGGGAAAGGCCGCUGACACCGACACAGGGAAACUGUUGACGUCCAGAAGCCACCCUGUGCAGGCCGAGCAGCUCGAAGCUGACCUUCCUGACUUGACUGCCGUUGCGCCCGCAAGUCUGAAGCUUGUGCCUACCUGGAAGCCACGCUUGCCUCUCCACCAGGGGCUCAGCUCCUUUGCUGGCAUAGCAAGAAUGCACACCAGGUCUCCCACCUGCAAGACAUUGCAACAUCAAUCCCAGCUUCAGCACAGCUGCGAGGAAAGCACAGCUGAAAUGACGCCCUUCUUCUGCACUGCCAAAUAGCGCACAGCUUGAGAGCAAUUGCACCGGGGCAGCUCUUCAGGCAUUUCCCGUCAGAAAGCUGAACUGGCACGUACAAGAGUCACUGCCUUGCACACCAGACAGAAUACAGUGCAAGCAUGCCAAAUCAAACCGUCUUUUACACAUGGCUGAACUCCUCCCUGCAUCCAACCCAGUGCAAGUCCUAUCUGGACCUGCAUCUUCUGGGCUUCGCCUCACAGGGCAUUCUGAAGGUGUCGGAGAAUAUUCCUGAUGCGUUCACACGGUAGACUCUUCUGGCCGUGACAACAAGGAACGCCUUUAACUGCUUACCUCCAAGGAGAGCUCAUCCGCUGCCUGGGCAACGUAUCUCUUAAUAACAUGGCCAGCAGCAAUAGCCGGAAUAUUAAGAGAUGGCUCCUCAUGCACCAGCAAGGGCUUCCCCUGGUUCUCAGGCUGAAACAGAGAGCACAGGCCACGGUGAGGAGCUGAGGACAAACAAGGAGGAUUGCAGGGUGCCAUCUACAUGCCACUAGCAAGGAAAUGAAGCUUUCAAGGCAGCUCUUCAGUGACACCAAGAGAGCCGGAAGGAUGCUCUCUCUCUCUCUAUCUUGAAAAGCAGGAGAGCACACCUGUGGCUCACACUGCGGGUUCAAGUCAGGGAACAAAGACCAAUCACAGCUUCACACCAUACCUCUGUCCAUGCCAGGUCAGGCCCACAGCUGAUCUUGCUGCUCGCGAUGCCCAUCACAGCAGGCUCGACAAGCUGCAACAGAAAAGAAACACAUUUCCUGUGUUCACACAGCACUGGAUUGAGAGUCUUCUUCAGAACUACUCUCAGUUGCCCACUGGCGGAGGCAGGUGUUCUACAAACAACCACUCUGUGCAGUCUAUUCAAACGGGACAGCCUUGCCCACGCAUUUCCUCUGCCUGCAUGCCCGCUGUGCUCCCUACAGCUGUCGGGCACACUCCCACAGCCAAAGCAUGCACGCUUCUGCCCCUGGCUCAUGCUGUGCAGCCCUGCACAAACUGCGGCUAGGGCUCUUUGCCUAAGGGAUUGCUUUCCUUCACACUAGCUGCUCCCAGCACUACAGGCAGCAUCCUGCCGAGGGCUGAGCUGGAGGGGAAGUGGAAAAAACCCACGCGGGACCAGUGCCGCAUCCCAGCUGGACGAGCCUGUGUUACUACACACGCUGCGACUAAACACGGGCUGCUGAACCAUGUGGCAAUACAAAGCAUGGCACGUACCUGGCAAGAGAUCAGAACAAGGGAGAAGAAGAUCCUCAAACCCGCAGCCGGUCCUUGUCACUUUGCUCUGAUCUUCCGCGAGCAAAAGCUGCACCAAGGGAGCAGGCGGAGGGUGGGGAGGGGACAGAGAAAGAGCAGGUCAGUGAGCCUGCACAAUUUAGCAAGGAAGGCGAGGGAAAAACCGUGGGACAAAUGCCACCUUGAUGGAUGGAUGGCCUGCGGGAAAAUGGCGUCUGACGGUCCAGACUAAGCAAUAUGAUCCUAGGAGCUCCGCCAGCCAGCACUUCUCAAGCCCUCGCUGCCCACCCGUCUAUCCCGCACCGGCUCAGCUUACCUACAAGACGCUGCGCAAGACGGGCUGAAGACGAACAGACUCACUCGAUGCACAAGUGCAACAAGCCACGUACUCACGCUGAGCUCAAGCGCUCCAAUGAAGGGAAGCAGCACGCGCUGCUCCUCCCCUCAUUCUAGCCGCUUGUGACAUCACUAAGGGCCACCCGGCUGCUCCACCAUGGAUGGGCAAGGUGGGGAGGCAAGACCACGUCACAAGACCAUAGGAUUCCAAAAGGGCACCCCAGCGUUCGAGAAAUCCGUUGGUGGUUGGAAUUCUAUCCCAGCCAAAUCCUGGAGAAGCUGGCAUGGGGUUGGCAUGACCAAAGUGCACGACACGGCGCUCGGUGCUGUUGAGCCUCUUGCUGGGCCGAUGGCAAAUCCACACUAGGGUCCUUCUUUGUGCCCUUCAAGGGCGGCUUAGAGCAGCCAUCUCUUUCACCUGCAUGGAAAUAAAGGAAGAGAAACACAG
ensembl:lncRNA